AUGCUGGGUUUUAAUAGGGUUGAUUUCUCUAAAAGAAUGCGGCACAUUGUAGAGCAAUUGCAGCCUGUGAGGCAAGAUGUUACCCUGAUUCUGCAGAGUUGUGACCCCAUGACUAUCCCAGAUAUUGCCCAGAGUCGUCCUAUCACCACCGGUCAAAGUGUAGAGCCAAAAUUGUAUGGGAGGGAUCAUAUCAUGGAUACCAUCAUACAUGAUAUGACCAAGGGUAAAUACCUUAGCACUGGUCUAACUGUGCUUCCAGUUGUCGGUCCAGGGGGGAUAGGAAAGACAACCCUGAUACAACACAUAUAUCACAAUAAGGAAGUGCAAAAUCAUUUUCAUGUAGUGAUUUGGGUUUGUGUGUCUCACAGUUUCAAUCUGAAUAAGUUGCUUGAAGAUAUUAAAACAGAUAUCCCUCGGGUUGAAGGGGAAAAGGGGGAUAGACCAGAGGAGCUGAUUCCACAAAGAUUGAAAUCCAAAAGAUUCUUGCUUGUACUAGAUGACAUAUGGAAGAUUAGUAAUGAGGAUGACUGGAAAAGGUUAUUGCUGCCACUUAAAAAAUCACAAGAAGAAGGGAGUGUCAUUGUACUCACGACUCGGUUUCCAGCAAUAGCAAAGAUUGUUAAUGCAACUAAUCAUAUAGAAUUGAAAGGAUUAGAAUCUGAAGAAUUUAAGAAUUUAUUCCUUGCAUUCAUCAUUGAUGAGCCCUUUAGAAGUGAUCAAAAGUAUUUGCUCGGGAUAGGAGAUAAGAUAAUGGAAAAACUAAAGGGCUCCCCUCUUGCUGCAAAAACUGUUGGUACAUUACUGAGAAAAGACCUUAGUUUGCGUCACUGGAGAAGUGUCUUAGAAAGUAAAGAAUGGGAGACACAGACCGAGGCCAAUGACAUUAUGCCUGCCUUGAAGCUUAGUUAUGACCAUCUUACUUCUCAUCAGCAACAAUGUUUCUCUUAUUCUGCAUUAUUUCCUGAAGAUUACAAGUAUAGUGCCAAAGAGUUAAUCAACUUGUGGAUAGGACUAGAUAUUUUACAACCUGGUGGUUGGAACCAAACACUGGAAGACAUAGGUCUAAGCAUUUUAAAUGAUCUGAUCGCAUAUGGAUUUUUCGAAAAAGAGGAAACUGAUGGUCAUGUGUGUUACAUAAUGCAUGACCUACUACAUGAUUUGGCAUGGAAGGUUGCAUCUCAUGAAUGCCUUUCCGUGCAUCAUUCCAAUGUGAGUUCAGUAAAAAUUCAUCCAAGCAUCCGCCACUUGUCUAUAAUCAUUGAUUGUUAUAAAAUGUCUCAUGAAAACUUCAAGCGUGAAUUAAGAAAUCUGAAGACAAGAUUGAAGGUUAAACACUUGCAGAGUUCGAUGUUAUUUGGAAGCAUUGAUGAAAACUUUGACAUCAUUUUGGGUUAUCUGUUUAGGGAAGCAAAUGCUCUCCGUGUUCUCAGUUUGGUUGACAUGCCCUUUUCUGUGGAGUCCAUGUUACCUAACUUUUCAGCACUUGUCCACCUACGAUACCUAUGCCUGCAAAAGGAUUAUGAUAGUGAGAUGCAAUUACCACUUGCCAUAUCUAAAUUUUAUCAUUUAAAGAUUUUGGAUUUAGGAAAGUGGAAUGGCUGUUAUGAUUUGCCAAGAGAGUUAGCCAACCUUGCUAAAUUGUAUCGUAUUUAUGUCCCAAUUGGUGAGUUGCACUCUGGUAUUUCUAAUGUGGAGAAACUCAGGGUCUUAGAAGAGUUAAAGGUUUUUAGAGUCAAUAAAGAAAGUGAAGGGUUUGAACCAAGUCAACUAGAGUAUUUGACUGAACUAAGGGAGCUUGGCAUCUAUAACCUUGAGAAAAUACACAAGAAAGAAGCAGCAGCCAAAGUGAAACUGGUACAGAAAACCAAGUUGGAGAGGUUAACAUUAGAUUGGGAUAGUAAGCGGUCUAAUGUCGAGGCUAGUGCAGAAAUAGCCGUCCUUGAGAGCCUUCAGACACAUAUAUAUCUGCAAGAAUUGUGCAUUAGAGGGCAUGGUGGCCCUUCUUGUCCAACAUGGCUGGGUGAUAAGCUCGCUUUUGAAGCUCUUGAAUCUCUUCAUCUUUCUGGUAUUUAUUGGCAAUGUCUCCCUCCUUUAGGGAAGAUGUUGGGCCUUCGUAAGUUAAAAUUGGAGCAUAUUGCCAUAAUGGAGGAGUUUGUUAUAGAGGAAAGCUUUUGCAGGCUAACAAGGCUUGAGCUUGUUGGCUUGGGAGGGUUUGGAAAAUGGGUAGCAUCACAGGGUGUUGAUCAUAUGUUUCCUCUUCUGCAAGUACUCAUUAUAAGUGACUGCCCUAAACUGUUGUUGUUGCCAUUUUCAAACUACUUUGUUGACCCUAAACCAGAUGAAGGCCAGAAAAUUGGUUGGUUUCCUAAACUGCAAGUGCUUGAGAUAAGUAAUUGUCCAGAACUCAUGUUGGUGGCUCGUGUCCCAUGGACUGAAACUCUGUGUAGGGUUGAAAUAAGUGAUGUAAAGCUGCUACGGUGGUUUAGGUAUAACACAGAAUAUUCCAGUCUGACUAUUACUGGGAAGAGUAAUCUGCAGAGCUUAGAUGAGGUGGUAGCCUUCGGUAAAAUGACUAAAGAGAUUGAGCAGCUAGAACUCAAAAGGUGCCCACCUCUGCAGUCAGAGCAGUUUUCGGCGCUAACCUCACUGAAGAGAUUGCAUGUGGAUAGUUCAGAUGUCAUGUCUGGGCUAGAUGGUUCAGAUGGUGAAGAUGAUGUUGAACCAUGUGGGAAAGAUUUGUCAGAGCUCCUCACCCACCUCCCAAGGCUAUCCAUUCUGAGUAUCAGAAAGUGUAGAAAGCUUACACAACUAGCAUUGGGCGUGGAUGUGCAGCAAACAAUGCUAGCAAUAGCAACAACAGCUACAGAGGUGGAGCAGGAGAAAGAAGAAGAUGACUCAGGACUGCUGCUCUUGCCGGCCCAUCUCUCUGACACACUGAAGUCCCUGAGCAUCGAAAAGUGUCCAGAGCUAGUCCUAGUGGACCCCAGAGGAGCAGGAGGGCUCCAUGCCCUGCGAUCCCUUCAGAGAUUAUGGAUUUUUGGCAGCCCCAAGUUACUAUCCGCCCAGAGCUCCUUUUCCGGCUGCCUUUUCCCAUCCUCUCUGCAGGACCUCACUCUUCACAGCGUGAAAGGCAUGGGGACGCUGGAGCCCCUCUCAAACCUCAACUCUCUCACGCAAUUAGAAUUGAGGGGUUGCGGACGGGAUCUAAGCUGCAAGGGAUUGGGGCCUCUCCUUACCACCGGGGCCCAACUCAGACAUUUAGAAGUCUUUGGCAGCCCUAGGUUCUUUGCUGGACGGGAUCCCAGGCAGGAUAAUAAAGGAGAAAAGAAAGAGUUGCAGCAGCUUGUUUCCUCCCAGAGUUCAUCCAAACUGCAGAAGCUCCGGACAGAUGAUGCCAUGGGGCUCCUUUCUACGCCCAUCUGCAGCCUGCUAUCUUCCUCCCUCACCGAGCUGAACCUGUAUAGGACAGAGAUGGAGCACUUCACCAAGGAGCAGGAGGACGCCCUUCACCUCCUCUCCUCCCUCAAGGAACUAGAGUUUAGGUAUUUGGAAAAGCUUCAGAGCCUCCCUACAGGGCUGCACAAGCUUACCAACCUCGAGGAUCUAACAAUCCACGAAUGUCCCGCCCUCCGGUCGCUGCCCAAUGAUGGCCUGCCCAAGUCACUGCGAUGCUUAUGUGUAUCCGACUGCGGCGAUGAGGAGCUAAAACAGCAGUGCAGGGGGUUGGUUGGGACCAUCCCAUAUGUCAUGCUAGACCUCCUAUUCUAG
rnacentral:rRNA from 1 species